CAGUCGCCGCGGUAAUACAGAGGGUGCAAGCGUUAAUCGGAAUUACUGGGCGUAAAGCGCGCGUAGGUGGUUUGUUAAGUCGGAUGUGAAAUCCCCGGGCUCAACCUGGGAACUGCAUCCGAAACUGGCAAGCUAGAGUAUGGUAGAGGGUAGUGGAAUUUCCUGUGUAGCGGUGAAAUGCGUAGAUAUAGGAAGGAACACCAGUGGCGAAGGCGACUACCUGGACUGAUACUGACACUGAGGUGCGAAAGCGUGGGGAGCAAACAGGAUUAGAUACCCCUGUAGUCCCUGUCUCUUAUAC
rnacentral:rRNA from 1 species